rnacentral:tRNA from 4 species
GGUUUUAUUGUCUAGUGGUUAAGACCCUUGGUUCUGAUCCAAGUAACCUGGGUUCGAAUCCCAGUGAAACCU